GAUGAACGCUGGCGGCGUGCCUAAUACAUGCAAGUCGAGCGAACGGACGAGAAGCUUGCUUUUCUGAUGUUAGCGGCGGACGGGUGAGUAACACGUGGAUAACCUACCUAUAAGACUGGGAUAACUUCGGGAAACCGGAGCUAAUACCGGAUAAUAUUUUGAACCGCAUGGUUCAAAAGUGAAAGACGGUCUUGCUGUCACUUAUAGAUGGAUCCGCGCUGCAUUAGCUAGUUGGUAAGGUAACGGCUUACCAAGGCAACGAUGCAUAGCCGACCUGAGAGGGUGAUCGGCCACACGGGAAAUGAGAAACGGCCCAGCCUCCUACGGGAGGCAGCAGUAGGGAAUCUUCCGCAAUGGGCGAAAGCCUGCGGGAGAAACGCCGGGUGAGUGAUGAAGGUCUUCGGACCGUAAAACUCUUUUAUUAGGGAAGAACAAUUGUGUAAGUAACUGUGAACAUCUUGACGGUACCAAAUAAGAAAGCCACGGCUAACUACGU
rnacentral:rRNA from 1 species